UACAGAGGUCUCAAGCGUUGUUCGGAUUCAUUGGGCGUAAAGGGCGCGUAGGCUGCGGGGCAAGUCGGGUGUGAAAUCUCAGAGCUCAACUCUGAAACUGCACUCGAUACUGCUUUGCUUGAGGACUGGAGAGGAGAUUGGAAUUCACGGUGUAGCAGUGAAAUGGCGUAGAUAUCGUGAGGAAGACCAGUGGCGAAGGCGGAUCUCUGGACAGUUCCUGACGCUGAGGCGCGAAGGCCAGGGGAGCAAACGGG
rnacentral:rRNA from 1 species